UAACUACGUGCCAGCAGCCGCGGUAAUACGUAGGUGGCAAGCGUUGUCCGGAAUUACUGGGUGUAAAGGGAGCGUAGGCGGGAUGCCAAGUCAGCUGUGAAAACUAUGGGCUUAACCUGUAGACUGCAGUUGAAACUGGUAUUCUUGAGUGAAGUAGAGGUUGGCGGAAUUCCGAGUGUAGCGGUGAAAUGCGUAGAUAUUCGGAGGAACACCGGUGGCGAAGGCGGCCAACUGGGCUUUAACUGACGCUGAGGCUCGAAAGUGUGGGGAGCAAACAGGAUUAGAUACCCUGGUAGUCCACACUGUAAACGAUGAUAGCUAGGUGUGGGGGGUCUGACCCCUUCCGUGCCGGAGUUAACGCAAUAAGCUAUCCACCUGGGGAGUACGACCGCAAGGUUGAAACUCAAAGGAAUUGACGGGGGCCCGCACAAGCAGUGGAUUAUGUGGUUUAAUUCGAAGCAACGCGAAGAACCUUACCAGCACUUGACAUCCGACUAACGAAGUAGAGAUACAUUAGGUGCCCUUCGGGGAAAGUCGAGACAGGUGGUGCAUGGUUGUCGUCAGCUCGUGUCGUGAGAUGUUGGGUUAAGUCCCGCAACGAGCGCAACCCCUGCCAUUAGUUGCUACGCAAGAGCACUCUAAUGGGACCGCUACCGACAAGGUGGAGGAAGGUGGGGACGACGUCAAAUCAUCAUGCCCCUUAUGUGCUGGGCUACACACGUAAUACAAUGGCCAUCAACAAAGAGAAGCAAUACCGCGAGGUGGAGCAAAACUUCAAAAAUGGUCUCAGUUCGGACUGCAGGCUGCAACCCGCCUGCACGAAGUUGGAAUUGCUAGUAAUCGUGGAUCAGCAUGCCACGGUGAAUACGUUCCCGGGUCUUGUACACACCGCCCGUCACACCAUGGGAGUUGGUAACGCCCGAAGUCAGUGACCCAACCGUAAGGAGGGAGCUGCCGAAGGUGGGACCGAUAACUGGGGUGAAGUCGUAACAAGGUAGCCGUAUCAGAAGGUGCGGCUG
rnacentral:rRNA from 1 species